AUUGGUAGUGUGGGCGGUUAUUUACACAUGUCAACAUUGUCUUUACCCAACCUCCCCUUUAAUCGAAUGAGAAGUGUAUUCAACAGCGUUUCUUCUCCACCGUCCGCUUCCCGCUUCACAUGAAAACCCUAGCCUUUUCCUUAAUCUCUCCACCUCCGGCAGUGGCACACAAAUUCCGUUUAACUCCAGUAUGAACACCAGACAAACACAACCUUGAGGAGUUACGGUUUGGUACGGGAUUACGGCGGCUGGAACUUUGUGGAUUCCGGCGCAUUCCCGUUAACUCCGGCGAGAACCCACUGACCUGAACCAGGGAGCAAAACAUCUAGCUAGACCACCAACAUUAUCCGAUGUUCUUCAUAGUUCUUUACAACAAGCAAAAACACAUCAAAAUUCAUAAAGCGAAGAAGGUCAGAGUUUAGAUUCCAAUGAAAGAGGAAUAAAAAGAACUCUGGUUCCUGAAGAACGUUCUGAUGAAAAUCCGAAUGACCCAAAGGCGUUUGUAAAGCUCAACAGAACCAUAAAUCUUUAAAUGAUUCAAGAUUGUGGUAUCAAUGGCAAAAAGAGCAGGAAUUUUAGCUAAAGAAAUAAAGUCGAUGAAAUCAGAUCUUUGUUUUAUGGAAGAAAGACGCAACAUUCUUGAGGAAGAAAACCGGCUGCUUAGAGACAGGUUUAAGGAGUUGCACCUUGGAGUAGGAUGAUCUGGUAUGUAUAAUCCACAUGAGUAACGGGUCCGGAUUUAAACAGGUCAUUUCCUGUGCAAGUCAAACGCGUUGGGUUGCAAACAUUUUUUGGUUCUUUUUUAUUGUUGCAAGAAUAAUCUAAAUCUUUAACUAAAAACGAAUUAAGAGGUAGCAAAAUGGACGGCUAAGGCAGGUUGACUGCCAAGUUGGUUCGAAUUUAGCCACUGAAAUCUUUUUUAGAUGGUGAGGUGGGGUGGGAAAGGGGUGUGGGUAUAAAUAGGCCACAUUUUGUAUGAGUAACGGGUCGGGUAGCAGACAUAUUUUUUAUUUUAUUUUUGUUAUUACAAAACGAAAAUAAAUCUUUAAAUAAAAUUUAUUUUAGAGAUAAUUAAAUGGACGCUUACAGUGGGUUCAGGUUUAAGCAGUUUAAUCUUUUCUGGGUGGGUCAGGUGAGGUGGGUAACGGGUUCAGGAUUUCAAGUUUAUAUAGAGGCCGAUUUUUUGUAUGAGUCGUGUUGGGUGGCGAACAUAGUUUUGUUCUUUCUUAUUAUUCUAAAAAUAAUGCAACCCUUUGAAUAAAAAUGAUUUAAGAGGGUAGUCAGAUGGAUGGGAAGGGCUGACUGGCAAUGGGGUUCAGGUUUAAACAAUGCGCCCACGGGGUUGGGUUUGACAAUAUGAAUCUCUAUAUACUAUACAGAUUCAGGAGGUUGUAAGCAUUAACAAUAAGAUCUGGACGACUUUCAACCCAUUUUACUCAUUUUGACUUGACCCAUUUGAGAUAAUACAACGCAAUUCAGCCAAUCUUGGACGGCCACUGGAAAAUGUUUUUCUGUGCAGAUGAGGCAUCAGAUAUCCUCUUACCGUAAAACUCUCAAAAUCAUGCUCCCAAAGAUAACUGCAGGUCAAGGCAUUAGCGACCCAAAGAAGACUAGGUACUAGGUGCCCGGACGCGUGAAGAAAAAAACAUUUGUGAUCUAUGUAAAUGUUAAAACGCUCAGCUUUUUUUUUUAUCAAUUUCAUUAGUAUAAGUAAAAUGUUCAACCGAGAACGAUUCGGUUUAGUGCGCCGCAACGCGUGCGUGGGUAUAGACCUAGUUAUAUAUAAGAUUUAAAUGUUGUCA